CGCAGCCCACACAGCAACCAUUACGCCGUACUGUUUCUUGAUGUGGACCGGUUUAAAGUGAUCAACGAUUCGUUGGGACACGCCGAAGGCGACGAGUUGCUAAAACAAAUAGCCCGAAGACUCGAAACCCUGACGCGGACGGGCGAUUUGCUGGCCCGGCUCGGGGGCGAUGAAUUCGUUAUUCUGGUAAGCGAAAUGCCCGAGGCAAACGAUGCGAUCCUCGUCGCAGAGCGGAUACACAAAGAUCUGGAAACCUCUUUCGAUUUGAACGGGAACGAGAUCUUCGUCACAACCAGUAUUGGAAUCGCGCUUAGUACCGUGGG
rnacentral:misc_RNA from 1 species